GUCUUGCACGUGUUGUCUUCCCAGUAGGAUAGUAUUGUUCGCAGCAGAGAAAAAGCAACGCGUCUCUGUCCUUGGGAUCGUUAGAUCGAGCUAUUCCUCACCCCAAGGACUAUCGAAACGAUUUUCCCGUCCGUUCCCCUUUCCACUUUCGGAAUAGGUUUAAAUGAUAGAAAAAAAGUUUGUUCGGACAAAACAGUGAAAGAUAUCUGGGCGUUUCAAUUUGAAAUGGGCCUCAAAUCUGGAUAUUUUUCGUCCCUCCCCCCCAAAAAAAAAAAUUAAUUGAAAACCCUAUGAAUCUCCAAUAUUUUUUCUAUUUUGCUUCAUGGUGAGAGGAGAAUUUUUUUUUCGGAUAAGAAAUUUUUUUGAGAAAGUUGGAAAAAAAUAGGCAAAAAUAGAGAAAAUUUGGAUCAAUGUAGAAAUAAAAAUGAUAGUUUUGUAUUCUCUGAGUUUCUAAGGCUACUGUUUGGAGUUCGAGUUUCUCGUUGUAGCUUCAGUCUUUGCGGUUGAAUAGUUCACUUCUAUCUCGUGGUUUUAUUCCAAUUUCGCUGCCUAAAAGAAGGAAAAUGUCUAACCAAGGGGUACACACUUAUCCAAUCGGAGAGGGUCAAGGAGAUGGAGUUGAACUUCAACUUACUAGAGUUGUUAAUGCGGCCACCGAAAUUAAAAAUGGUCAUCUUAUAAGAAAUGUAGAAAGGGUUCAAAAUACGACAGUAUCGAGUGCUCGUGAUAACUAAAUGGACGACUAUGAUGCGGUUUGGAUUAGCGGGCCUAUUUUUCUCCCUCCUUUACCUCUUUAUCAUACAUAUUUGGUGAUUAGUAGUCUUAUGCAAAAGCUUACCGCAAAAGGUUGUUUGUUGGGUUAGCUUAAGAAGAUCCAUAUUCUCACAUGGCCAGCUUGAGUAGUGUCUGUAAGAGUUGUGUGGGACUAUCAGAUUUGGAUAUGAACAUCAUAGGUUUAAGAGUAUCCCCUCUGUUGUUGACUGGUGAUGUUUUUGUGUGGUUUUUUGAGAUCACUGAAAACUUGAGAGAAUUUCCCAAAACAAUAAGGCACGGAGCACUGUAAAAACAAAUAUUGGUAGGAUCACGUUUGCUAUCCAAAUUACACCAAGUCAAUCAAAUUAUAAAAUUUAUCCUACAUUAAUAUCGAUGGUAAAUCAUAGUGUGGAGUGAGAAUGUGAAGUGUCUAUUACAGAAAGAUUAGGUGUUGAUACACUAGCAGCGGUAAUGAUGAAUUUCGAUACUGAGGUUAUUGAUUAGUAUGAUGAGCUAGUUGUUGCAAUUAAUCGGUUCUAAUUUCAUUUCAAGCCAAAAAAAAUUGAAAUUAAUAAUGAUGAAUCCGAACACCCCACCUGCAAAACCUUCUAUUGAUGAUCCUCCAAAAAAUGAACUCAAACUCUUCCAUUUCACUUGAGGUAUGUAUUCUUUGGACAAAACAACACCUUGUCCGUCAUUAUUAUUGAAGACUUGAUUAUAGGUCAAAAAUAGCUUUUAUAUCGGUGUUGAAGCGGUAAAAGAGGUCUAUAGGAUAGACAAUUACAUAUAUUAUUGGGACUCCUCCGGAUAUUUGUUCACAUAAAAUCUAGCUCAUAUCGAACAUAAAGCCAAGUAUGGAGCAUCAAAAGAGACUGAAUACCCACAAGCAAGAGGUUGUAAAAAAAGAAAUAAAUAAUUAGUAGGUUGGAGUCAUAUAUCACAUUAUUGAUAGUAGUUCAGGUUGGGUCAGUCCUAUGUGUGCCGAAAAAUAAAGAAUCAUUGUAGUUCAUAAUUACAAUAAUGAGCUUCUUCCAACGAGGCCGAUGAGUGUCUGGAUAAUGUGUAUAAAAUACCACAAGUUAAAUACAUAGAAUAAGAAAUAUCAUUUUCCAAUGUCUUGGGUCCAUCCACGGCCAGUUGAUGGAGAAAGUUGGUGGCUGCAAUUUAAACCUUUUGGGUUGUUUUAAUGACACACCCCUGGAAUUCCAUUACCUUUACUAGAGACUUAUAUGUUGAGUAAUGAUAAUUUUAGACAUAAAUAAAUGUAAAUAACUUGUUUGAGAUAUAUUGGGGCCAUAGCUUUAAAGAAAGGUCUUAACGUCCGGAAACUAGCGAAAACAAACUAGUUAACAUCCGAAUGGUUGGUGAAGGUUUGAGAGGGUCAUAUGAAGUGAAAAACAUAUAAAAAGACUUAAAAUGGGUAAAAUUUAGUAUAGAGGGACAAAACGUACAAUCACAACACUCCAAGGACCACUAGAACGGUCCUUGGGGAGGACCCGAACAAGAGCGAGCAGGCUGCCAAAGCAGCCUAUGUGGAGACAUGAAUUUUGUGGCUGCUGCUUGAUGCACAACUAUCACACAGGGAUUUUAAAUUUGCCUCGUGACGUGGGGCCUACACGAGGUCUACUGCCUCAACCUGGAUUUCAAAAAUAAAUCAUGAAAUUAACCCGGCGACGUGCAGCCACUUCUCAUAUUUGUAUAAGUUGUAUUUUAAACAUUUUGACUUCACAAAAAAAA
rnacentral:lncRNA from 1 species